rnacentral:ncRNA from 1 species
GGUUCGGGAGCCGCCUUUCGGGACAGGCGGCAGGUAUGGAACCACUCUCCCCUCUCGCCAGUUGGCGCGCCCCUGUGACCCGACAGGAAGCGUG